AGGCUGACACUGAUGAUAAUCUGUAUUCAGAGGAACACCAAACCUAAAGGUUUGCAGACCAGAGGAAAUUCAGAUGGCACAAACAUGGAGAUCGCCCUCUAUGAGAACUGUCCUCCAGCUUCUACAUCUGAAUCCACCUACGAGAGCCUCGAUCCAGCCAGCAGGGAGCAAACCAGACCUACUCUACACUCACACACACACACACACACACACACACACACACAAAUGAUGCGUUUGUGUCUCACUGAGCACUGCAACUCUGCCAUGUACGCAGGUAUUCAGGUAGAUUAACGCUUUCUCACCAAGAAGCAGUCCACAUGAUCUUUAGCAGGUUUUAAAACUGAAAAAAGCAC